rfam:Schistosoma rodhaini strain Burundi genome assembly, scaffold: SROB_scaffold0003262
AUCCAGCUGAUGAGUCCCAAAUAGGACGAAACGCGCGUCCUAAU